rnacentral:rRNA from 1 species
GAUGAACGCUGGCGGCGUGCCUAAUACAUGCAAGUCGAGCGAACAGACGAGGAGCUUGCUCCUCUGACGUUAGCGGCGGGCGGGUGAGUAACACGUGGAUAACCUACCUAUAAGACGGGGAUAACUUCGGGAAACCGGAGCAAAUACCGGAGAAUAUAUUGAACCGCAGGGUGGAAUAGUGAAAGACGGUUGUGCUGUCACUAAUCGAGGGAUCCGGGCCGGAUUAGCUGGUUGGGCAGGUAACGGCUUACCAAGGCAACGAUGCGUAGCCGACCUGAGGGGCUGAUCGGCCACACUGGAACUGGGACACGGUCCAGGCUCCUACGGGAGGCAGCAGUAGGGAAUCUUCCGCAGUGGGCGAAAACCUGGCGGAGCGGGGCCACGUCAGUGAUGAAGGUCUUCGGAUCGUAAAACUCUGUUAUUAGGGAAGAACAGAUGUGUAAGUAACUAUGCACGUCUUGACGGUAACUGAUCAGAAAGCCACGGCUAACUACGUG